GAGUUUGAUCCUGGCUCAGAUUGAACGCUGGCGGCAGGCCUAACACAUGCAAGUCGAGCGGUAGAGAGAAGCUUGCUUCUCUUGAGAGCGGCGGACGGGUGAGUAAUGCCUAGGAAUCUGCCUGGUAGUGGGGGAUAACGCUCGGAAACGGACGCUAAUACCGCAUACGUCCUACGGGAGAAAGCAGGGGACCUUCGGGCCUUGCGCUAUCAGAUGAGCCUAGGUCGGAUUAGCUAGUUGGUGAGGUAAUGGCUCACCAAGGCGACGAUCCGUAACUGGUCUGAGAGGAUGAUCAGUCACACUGGAACUGAGACACGGUCCAGACUCCUACGGGAGGUAGCAGUGGGGAAUAUUGGACAAUGGGCGAAAGCCUGAUCCAGCCAUGCCGCGUGUGUGAAGAAGGUCUUCGGAUUGUAAAGCACUUUAAGUUGGGAGGAAGGGCAGUAAAUUAAUACUUUGCUGUUUUGACGUUACGACAGAAUAAGCACCGGCUAACUCUGUGCCAGCAG
rnacentral:rRNA from 1 species